rnacentral:rRNA from 1 species
UGCAAGUCGAACGCAGUAGCAAUACUGAGUGGCAAACGGGUGAGUAUAAUGUGGGAAUCUGCCUUUUGGUUUGGAAUAACACGGGGAAACUUGUGCUAAUACCGAAUAAGCCCUUACGGGGAAAGUUUUAAUGCCGAAAGAUGAGCCCGCACUUGAUUAGCUAGUUGGUAAGGUAAAAGCUUACCAAGGCAAUGAUCAAUAGCUGUUCUUAGAGGAAGACCAGCCACAUUGGGACUGAGACACGGCCCAGACUCCUACGGGAGGCAGCAGUGGGGAAUCUUGCACAAUGGGGGAAACCCUGAUGCAGCGAUGCCGCGUGAGUGAAGAAGGCCUUUGGGUUGUAAAACUCUUUCGUCGGGGAAGAAAAUGACUGUACCCGAAUAAGAAGGUCCGGCUAACUUCGUGCCAGCAGCCGCGGUAAUACGAAGGGACCUAGCGUAGUUCGGAAUUACUGGGCUUAAAGAGCUCGUAGGUGGUUAAAAAAGUUGAUGGUGAAAUCCCAAGGCUCAACCUUGGAACUGCCAUCAAAACUUUUUAGCUAGAGUGUGAUAGAGGU